AGCUUUGUGCAGUGGCAGUAUCAUAGCCAAUGAGGUUAAUCCGAGGCACGAUUAUUGCUAAUUGAAAACUUAGCACAUGUGUAGACACUUGUCUUUCCUUCGUAGAUAUGCAGAGGCUUGGUAUUUGAGCAGUUAUUUGGAUG